rnacentral:tRNA from 1 species
GCGGGUGUGGUUCAAUGGCAGAACUCCAGCUUCCCAAGCUGGUCGUGAGGGUUCGAUUCCCUUCGCCUGCUCCA